rnacentral:rRNA from 1 species
GACGAACGCUGGCGGCGUGCUUAACACAUGCAAGUCGAACGGAAAGGCCCUGCUUUUGUGGGGUGCUCGAGUGGCGAACGGGUGAGUAACACGUGAGUAACCUGCCCUUGACUUUGGGAUAACUUCAGGAAACUGGGGCUAAUACCGGAUAGGAGCUCCUGCUGCAUGGUGGGGGUUGGAAAGUUUCGGCGGUUGGGGAUGGACUCGCGGCUUAUCAGCUUGUUGGUGGGGUAGUGGCUUACCAAGGCUUUGACGGGUAGCCGGCCUGAGAGGGUGACCGGCCAAAUUGGGACUGAGGUACGGCCCAGACUCCUACGGGAGGCAGCAGGGGGGAAUAAUGCACAAUGGGCGGAAGCCUGAUGCAGCAACGCCGCGUGCGGGAUGACGGCCUUCGGGUUGGAAACCGCUUUCGCCUGUGACGAAGCGUGAGUGACGGUAAUGGGUAAAGAAGCACCGGCUAACUACGUG